rnacentral:lncRNA from 1 species
ACCUUCUUGUUAAAGCAAUCUAUGGUGGCGUGAUAUAAUGCUAGCCAAUCCAUCCCUAAAAUUACAUCAAAAUCCCCCGUGUCUAACCCUAUUAGGUCUACACUCAGUUUCCUAUUUGCUAUCUCUACGGCACAAGCCCUGUAAAUAACUUCCCCUAAUAGUGUUUCACCCCCAGCAGUAGACACAAAAAAUAUUGAAUCAAGUUUAUCAAGUGAUACAUUAAGUUUGGAUGCAAAAAUAUGUGAAACAAAUGAAUGCGAUGCACUAGUGUCAAAUAAAACGUGAGCAAUAUGGUUACAGAUAGUGUACAUACCUUGUACCACGUCUGGGUCGGCAUCAGCAUCCUGUUGUGUGAGAUUGUAUACCUUGCCCUGAAUAGGAGGUCUUCCUUAGUUCUGGUUCCUCGGGCAUUCUCUCGCAUAGUGCUGGGCACUACCACAUAUGCUACAGGUGUUGUUGAGGCGAUAGCAUAGUCGGUCCCCGUGAUCCCUGCCGCAGUGCUAACAGAUCUUGCCACGUGUUGUCCUUGGAGCCUGAGGGUGAGCCUGGAUCGCCAGUCUGGGCCUCUUAUUUUGUUGGACAGGCGCAGUAGGUGCUGGUCUGCGAAGUGGAGCUGAGGGUUUGUGACUCCCUGCUGACUGAGGAAGGGUGUUGAAACUCCUCUCCACGAUCUGCGCCUUUGCCAGAACGGCUGAAUAUGUCUUGAGCUCUAAUACCAAUAAGUGAUGCUUGAUCUUUGGGCAGAUGCCCCACUAGAACCUCUUAGCCUUCCUGCCCUCAUCUAUCAAUGUCUUAAGGGAGUAGCCCAACUCUAGAAACUUACGAGCAUAUUCCGUUACCGUCAUGUUUUCCUA